CCAACACAUCACCCACCAUACGAUCAUGCCACGUGUCUUUCAUAGCUUCAUUCAACCGUUGGAUGAACCCCUUAUCAUACUUUUCACAAUAAUGCAACAAACGUGCAACAUGAGUAGGGUCCUUAUUGUCCCACCAUAAUUCACGUCCAUCUUCACAUUCCGGCGACUCCCCGACACCACCGGAGAGUCUCUCACGGUGGAAUCCGGCUAACUCGGCAAUAUAUUCCACCAUACCAUCAAGAAGCCUAGGUGAUGCCUUAGACCUUCCAUCCCAUAGCCAAACUCGAGCCAUGGCACGUUGAAUUGCACCUACUAUAGCCAUGUUGUUGAAAUUCUCAUCUUCAAGUAACAUAGGACUAAUUUCAAUCACGUAGCUAUUAAUAUUUUUUUCAUCUGCCGUGAUCGUAGUGAUGGUAUCGAGAUUCUGACGAGCAAGACGAAGGGUGACACUCUUUAUAAUCUUCUUAUUCUUGAUAUCAAUAUUAUCGUUGUUUCCAUUAGGGUAUAGAAUUUGUUCUACGAAGGAGCUUGUGUUGAGAAGUAUACGCGAGGCUUUGUCGUUUGAGACAUAGAAAAGAGUGAAACGACGACCGGCAAGGGAGUCUUUUGUGUCGUUUACUAUAUGUAUGUCAAAGGUUUUUGAUGCUUCAUAGUUUGCCCAUAUUGAGAUUAUUGCUACAAAGAGAAUAAGGAGGAUACGAUGUAUGAUAUUGUUGUUGUUUGGAAUGAAGAAUUUUGAAUUGUUGUAAUCGUUUUGUUGGUUAAUCUCAUAAGAGGAAGGGUUGAAAUGAGGUAGGAGUGGUUGGAAGAGGAAAUGUUUGUCUUCAUUUUCCAUUGAUCUUGAAGCAAUUGAAGUAUAUAGUUGCGUUAAUGGAAAUGGAAAUUUAUAAAAUGUCAAUAGGAUUUGUGUUUUAUUUUUAUAUUCUAUAGUUGUGUGCUUUUAAUAAUAGAGCAAUGUUACCC
rnacentral:lncRNA from 1 species